AGAGUUUGAUCAUGGCUCAGAUUGAACGCUGGCGGCAUGCUUAAUACAUGCAAGUCGAACGGUAACAGAUUCUUCGGAAUGCUGACGAGUGGCGGACGGGUGAGUAAUACAUAGGAAUCUGCCCAUGUAGUGGGGGACAACUUGGGGAAACCCAAGCUAAUACCGCAUAAUUCCUACGGGAUAAAGAGGGCCACUGCUUGCAAGCUCUUGCUACUGGAUGAGCCUAUGUCGGAUUAGUUAGUUGGUAAGGUAAUGGCUUACCAAGACAGCGAUCCGUAGCUGGUUUGAGAGGAUGAUCAGCCACACUGGGACUGAGACACGGCCCAGACUCCUACGGGAGGCAGCAGUAGGGAGUAUUGGACAAUGGGCGCAAGCCUGAUCCAGCAAUGCCGCGUGUGUGAAGAAGGCCUGCGGGUUGUAAAGCACUUUCAAUUGGGAAGAAAGAUUAUGAGUUAAUACCUUAUAAUAUUGACGUACCAA
rnacentral:rRNA from 1 species